UACGUAGGGUGCGAGCGUUAAUCGGAAUUACUGGGCGUAAGGCGUGCGCAGGCGGUUCGUUGUGUCGGUGGUGAAAUCCCCGGGCUUAACCUGGGAAUGGCCAUGGAAACUGGCGAACUGGAGUGCGGCAGAGGGGGGUGGAAUUCCGCGUGUAGCAGUGAAAUGCGUAGAGAUGCGGAGGAACACCGAUGGCGAAGGCAGCCCCCUGGGCUAGCACUGACGCUCAGGCACGAAAGCGUGGGGAGCAAACAGG
rnacentral:rRNA from 1 species